rnacentral:rRNA from 1 species
UCGCCUGUUUUUCAAAAACAUCGCCGCAAAAAUCACUUGCGGUCUGUCUGCCCAGUGAUAUUCUUUAACGGCCGCAGUAUCCUAACUGUGCUAAGGUAGCAUAAUAAUUAGCUUUUUAAUUGGAAGCUCGAAUGAACGACCCGCCGAAAAAUCUCCUGUCUCAGCGCUCCUAUUAACUUACUUACAGAGUAAAAACGCUCUCUUUACUUAAGAGGACGACAAGACCCUAUAAAACUUUACCCUAUUAUCGGCCUACUUAAAAUCUAACGAAAAUCAGGGUUAUACUGGGGCGAUAAUUUUACUAUAAACAAAAAUCAUCUUAACGUAUUUAACGAGAUUAACGAACACUAGUCAGUAAUAAAGAACAAGUUACUUUAGGGAUAACAGCGCAAUAUCUUCUUAGAGCCCUUAUCGACGAAGAUGAUUACGACCUCGAUGUUGAAUUGAAACCCCUGCUUAGAGCAGCCUCUGAGUAAGGAAGUCUGUUCGACUUUUAAAUUUUCACAUGAUCUGAGUUCCAAACCGGA